GUCCAGAUGGCUUAGUGGUGAGAGCAACUGCUUCCUAAGCAGAAGAUCCAGGUUGGAAUCCUGGUCUGGCACA